rnacentral:rRNA from 1 species
AGGGAAUAUUGGGCAAUGCUCUCAAGAGUGACCCAGCCAUGCCGCGUGCAGGAAGAAGGCCUUCUGGGUUGUAAACUGCUUUUGGAAGGGAACAAAACGGGCAUGCGUGCCAACUUGAGUGUACCUUCAGAAUAAGCACCGGCUAACUCCGUGCCAGCAGCCGCGGUAAUACGGAGGGUGCAAGCGUUGUCCGGAUUUAUUGGGUUUAAAGGGUGCGUAGGCGGCUUAUUAAGUCAGGGGUGAAAGACUGCAGCUCAACUGUAGCAGUGCCUUUGAUACUGAUGAGCUUGAGUACAGAUGAGGCUGGCGGAAUGGGUGGUGUAGCGGUGAAAUGCAUAGAUACCAUCCAGAACACCGAUUGCGAAGGCAGCCGGCUAAACUGUAACUGACGCUGAGUCACGAAAGCGUGGGGAUCGAAC